GACGAACGCUGGCGGCGUGCUUAACACAUGCAAGUCGAACGGAAAGGCCCUGCUUUUGUGGGGUGCUCGAGUGGCGAACGGGUGAGUAACACGUGAGUAACCUGCCCUUGACUUUGGGAUAACUUCAGGAAACUGGGGCUAAUACCGGAUAGGAGCUCCUGCUGCAUGGUGGGGGUUGGAAAGUUUCGGCGGUUGGGGAUGGACUCGCGGCUUAUCAGCUUGUUGGUGGGGUAGUGGCUUACCAAGGCUUUGACGGGUAGCCGGCCUGAGAGGGUGACCGGCCACAUUGGGACAGAGAUACGGCCCGGACUCCUACGGGAGGCAGCAGUGGGGAAUAUUGCACAAUGGGCGGAAGCCUGAUGCAGCAACGCCGCGUGCGGGAUGACGGCCUUCGGGUUGUAAACCGCUUUCGCCUGUGACGAAGCGUGAGUGACGGUAAUGGGUAAAGAAGCACCGGCUAACUACGUG
rnacentral:rRNA from 1 species